GACCUGUCCAGCCGCCGUGCCCAGUCGCCGCUCGCGUUGCCGGCGCCGUCUCCGUCUGAACCGUCGCCAGAUCCGCCACUGCUGAAGCUUCUGGCCGCGCCUCUGCGUCGCCGGAGCUCCACGUCGCCGCCACUGCCACCAAAAACCACCAUUGAGGCCUAAGUCUGUUUGGGAUCGAGUUACGGGUCUUGAUUGCUGAGCUCUAUGGCUGCUGCAUACAGCAUCAAGGUGCUGCGUCGUCAUUGGCUGCUGUUGCUCCGUUUUCUCGAUCAUUUGUGAGCCCAGUAAGUCGUUCCUUGUUCCAAACUCUUUUAGCUGAUGUUCUGUUAUAGAUUAUUGAGUUUUACGCGACAUUAAUGUUUUAGGAUUGAGCUAAGGCUGUGUUUAGAGGCUGUGGCUGCGGCUGGAACGGUCGGUGUUGAUGCUAUUGUUGUGGGAUAAGAAUAGAAAUGCAGUUUGUCGCGUAGUUGAAUCGAGAAUGAGCUUUACCUUUUCAGGAACCGGAUGAAGAAGCGUUAUACUGCGUUUGGUUGAUAUGUUGUUGUAUUAAUUAGAUUAUUUUAUUCCCUCGUUUUUGUUAUUACAAAUUUGUAAGAGGGAUAGGAAUUAUAUGUUUUAUAUGUAUAUUAUAUUAUGAGUUAUUAUGUAAGGAGUCUUGUAUAUGAAUCUAUGCCUGUUUGUAUUUUUAUUAAGAUAAAGUGUUUAUUUCCAGUUUUCAAGGAAAUCAGCGAUACAGUGUCGAGUCACAGGCUCCUAUUUUAGUAUUUAGUAUGUAAAGUAGUCGUAGUACUCCUUGCUAUCAGAGUGGCGCAGCCAGAAGCGUGUCUUCUGAUAGUGAGGGUGUUACAAAUUACAGCUAAAUAAAAAUUAUCAAACCAAAUUAUAUCCUCGUUAA